AUACGGAUGGUGCGAGCGUUGUUCGGAAUUACUGGGCGUAAAGGGCGCGUAGGCGGCCUGCCAAGUCAGAUGUGAAAGCCCACGGCUCAACCGUGGAAGUGCAUCUGAAACUGACAGGCUUGAGUACUGGAGAGGAGUGUGGAAUUCCUGGUGUAGAGGUGAAAUUCGUAGAUAUCAGGAGGAAUACCGGUGGCGAAGGCGACACUCUGGACAGAUACUGACGCUGAGGCGCGAAAGCGUGGGGAGCAAACAGGAUUAGAAACCCCGGUAGUCC
rnacentral:rRNA from 1 species